GCCAUCUUCACAGUCGUCUUCAUUAAGAAAUCGCCUCACUUCAGCAUCGAGAGAUGAUGACUAUGAGAGCGAGAGAGAUUUUAAUGAAGAGUUUUAAAUGAUCACAUGAAGUUACUCGUCCACCUUGGACAGACUGUACGCAUGGGAAAUGAAGCUCUAUGCUGAAGUGAAGAGAAAACCAUUGAAGGUACUGCCGCGUAUUCAGGAGACGUUAUACCCAUUGUGCAGCUUCAGGAUAUGAACAUUGUGCAAUAAACAACGCAGGUUGUUGGAAGCAGACUCGUGAUGGAAAGACAUACUCUGCCUGUGAUGCAAACGACAAAGUUGGAGGAAGAUUUAUAUAGUUCAGUUACAUAUUACUUGGAAUGCAUGUUGGACCUACAACUGCUGGAAGAGGAGAAUCAUAUUUGUUGAACAAAAGAGAAGGUCAAUUCAUUACCUGGCAUAUCGUCUAUUUUACUACUGAUCAUCUAAUUUACUGAUGGGUAUUGAAUUUCUAAAAAAAUUUCUCAAGUAUGACCAUCGGGUGUUACUAAUAUGCCACGUAGUAACGGCUUGCAGCUGUUUCAACCUACCACGUAGUAAUGGCUUGCGGACGUUACUAAUAAAUACCACGUAGUAACGGCUUGAGCCUGUUACGACCAUGUUGUUACAAAAAAUCGUAAUGACCAUCGGGUGUUACUACGUGUCAUUUCGUACUGGCCUAAGCUGUUACUGAUGCCGUUACAACCAAGAAUCGUUACGGCUCCAUUGCUGUUACGAAUCCCAAAAUUUGGUGUAGUGUGU